rnacentral:tRNA from 1 species
GCGCCGGUAGUGUAAGGCGAACAUCUCUGCCCGAAAGCAGAAGAUGCGGGUUCGAGUCCCGCCUGGAGCA